UUGAUCCGUAUGAUAGGAAACUAUCACGUACGGUUCUUAGGGGAGUUAGGGGCAGUGAUGCCCCUCGGACUUAAC
rnacentral:ncRNA from 1 species